GCGGCUCUGAGUGUGGCGCCGGCCGUCAGUAUUCCCCGGAUGCCUAAAGAGUUAGUACGGGUAGAAAUUGCCCAGCACGUUAGGGGUGUGGACGCGGUGUGUAGGAAGUCUCCCUGCUUUCCACAGCCCCCGAGUUGGGAGAAAUGACAAUUUGCUUUUCUCCAAAGGUAAACAGAGGCAAGAUCGUAAUGGUUCUGAUACCUGAUUAGCAUGGAACUGUGUACUUCAGGCUGGCCUUGAGCUUACUAUGUAGUAUAGGGUUGGCCUCGAAGGAGAUCCUCCUACUUCAGCCUCCCGAGUGCUGGGAUUACAGGUGUGUGCCAUCAUGCCCAGAUUCCUUUAGAAAGAUUUAAUAAGAAUCUAUAUAAUUUUGUCAACCAAAGAGCAAAAGUGUUUGAUGAUGCACUGGACUAUUUCGCAGCUUCUCCAAGGGCUUUGAUUUUGUCCAGUGUUUUAUUUUCACCUUUUUUUAUGAGGCUCUGCUGGUGCAGGCUGACUUAUUGCCUGGAUUGACUGCGCCAGUUUGGCUGGGUGACAGAUAUCUUCUCUUUGCCUCUCCCACUUGAUGUUUCUCCUCUAGAAACUGCACUCAUAGAGGACUGCCUUCCCAGAUGGAUCGUUUUGAUGUCCUUUCCCUCAGCUCUGUCACAUUUGAGUGUGACUUAAAGACUAUGUGGCAGUAUUUUGAAAUAAUGUGUCAGAACUUCGGAGCUAGGGGAUGGACUGGAGCUUAGUGGUGAGCGCUUGCCUAGCAUGGGCCAGGCCCUGGCUUCCACCCCCAGAACCACAGAAAAGAACCCCCAGAAUUAUGUGUGAUUGAAAUAAAAUUUUGGUACUGCUGGGGUCAAAUCUUGAUUCAGAUCUUUUCUCUGCCUAACUACAGUUGUUUUGAGGAUUGAACGAGGCAGUAUACAUAAAAAAUAAUAAUCACAGCUAAUUGCUUAAGGCACACAAUCAAUGGUAGGUGGUCUCUGUUUGUGUUAAGAGUACCUUAUUUUUGGUAUCUGGGAUCGAACUCAGGACCUUGCACUUGCAAGGCAGGUGCAGCACCACUGAGCUAAAUUCUCCACCCGAAUACCUUGUUAUGGUGACGCUUUAUUUAAUGCUGAAAGUAGCAAUCUCUAUAGAAGAACAAGUAACUACAGAGUUAAGGGUAGUAGAUUAAGAUGGUAAAUAUUAGAUAAUCCCUAAUUCUGACAACUACUAUAUCAUUGUAGUGCACUGAACAACCAAUUUCUUGACUAUUCAGAUAUAUAUAUAUAUAUCUCCUCACUAAAUCACGAGGUUGUCCAGGCUAGGCUUGAUCUUGUGAUUCUUCUGCCUCAGCCUCCCAGAGUGCUGGGAUUACAGGCGUGUGCCACUAUACCCAGGUGAAAAAAACCCACUCUCCACAAUGGGCUAGGGGAGGAAUUGUGAAGGCCCAGGCUUUCAAGUUGGACUGGGAGAAAGGAGGAAGAAGUUGGGAACGAUAUAAGAACACAUAGAGAAAGAGAUACAGACUUGAAAGAGAGAAAAUUCACAUAUAAGGAGCCGGGAAUCAUGGGAUUAUGUCUCCUGAUAGUAAAUUUGAAGAGACAAAGGAAAACAAAACACCCAGGGAGGUUCAAAAUAUGUUUUGUGUCCAUCAGUAUUAACUAUUGGAAUACUACUGCUUUUGUACUUUUUUUUCUUUGAGACAACCGUACAUUUAAUAGAGGUACAAUUCAUUGAAUUUUUGUUUAUGUAUUUAUUUCAUUCCAGUUUGAUUUAUUUUGUUACUUGUCAAAACAGUAGACAUUACUUAUUUUAUUUAUGAUAUAUUUCAGCUUAAAGUUAUGUUAUCAUAUGUGGAUGUAAAUAUAGAUUUGGUGUUUUGCAAAAAAGAAAAAAAAUGCAAGGAGGAAAAUGUGGUUUCCAAGGUGGUAUCUGUGGGACAGGUCACCUGUGCCACGGAAGGAGGUGCCACGGAAGGAAGUGCCACGUAACCUCACAGCCCAAGUGUAAAUUUAGUCCUCGCCCUACUGUGCUCUGUACAUAUUCUGCCCACCUAGGGCCGGGGAUUUAGCUCAGUGGUUUUGCCGCCUACUGUGCAAGUGCAAGGACCCAAGUUUGAUCCCCAGUACCAAAAAACAAAAACAAAACUCUGCCCACCUAGAUAAAAGCAGGUAAGGAAAAAUGCUCACGGGAAGCGAAGCACACCAAUGUUAAACAGCGUUUUCUCUCAUUCAUAGGGUUAGAGAUGAAUGUUCCUUUAAAGUUGUUUUAAUGAUUUCUACACUCUCCAAAAGCAUAUGUCAUCUUUAUAAUAAAAAUUUCACUUUUAAAUAUUCAAAAGAGCUACAUUCAAAACCCAUGACCCACCCAUAGGGAGCCAUAUGUUAAUUUCAUAAGCACUUAUGUAUGUAUCACAAUAUACUGUAGUGAUGCCACAUACACAAUCUCUCUGGUGGCUUCUAGCUUAUUUUAACUUCUAAAAAUUUAUAUAAGUCUGGGCAUGAUGACACACACCUGUAAUCUCAGCUAUUUGGGAGGUGGGACAGGUGGAUUGCAAAUUUGAGGACAGUGACAAGACCCUGUCUCAAAACAAAAAGUAAAAACGGCUGGGGAUGUAGCUCACUAGUAGAGUGUUUUGCCUAGCAUGUGUGUGAGGACCUGGGGUCCAAUCCCCAUACUGGAAAAAAGACUGGGGUGGGGAGGAGGAGAGAGGCAGAAGGGGAUGAGAAAUCAUCAGAAGUAGGCCUGCAAAUGCUCUGACAAGUAUUUUUGCUUUUUUUAGAAUUCUUAUGGAAAAAGGAGGAAGUAUUACAUGAAGAUAACUGAGAAUUAUAUUCAGAUAUAUACAUAAAAUUUGUUUUUGACUGGACAAUCUAAAAAAUGCAAAAAUGCACAUACUUUUAGAGGCUCGUAGACCUGGUGCCCACGAAGGUGCCGACCUUGGAUCAGAGCUCUGCCGGUGCCGCCCUGGAAUCCUAUCCAGAACAAGAUGGCUUUUUGAGAAGCAAUAAACAAAUUUUCUCUCAAUUUUCUAUAAUUUCCACAAACA